rnacentral:rRNA from 1 species
UACGGGGGGGGGCAAGCGUUGUUCGGAAUUACUGGGCGUAAAGGCGCGUAGGCGGCCUGCUAAGUCGGAUGUGAAAUCCCUCGGCUCAACCGAGGAACUGCAUCCGAUACUGGCGGGCUUGAAUCCGGGAGAGGGAUGUGGAAUUCCAGGUGUAGCGGUGAAAUGCGUAGAUAUCUGGAGGAACACCCGUGGCGAAAGCGGCUCUCUGGAACGGUACUGACGCUGAGGAGCGAAAGCGUGGGGAGCAAACAGG